AGUGAACGCUGGCGGUAGGCCUAACACAUGCAAGUCGAACGGCAGCACGGUAAGAGCUUGCUCUUACGGGUGGCGAGUGGCGGACGGGUGAGGAAUACAUCGGAAUCUACUUUUUCGUGGGGGAUAACGUAGGGAAACUUACGCUAAUACCGCAUACGACCUACGGGUGAAAGCAGGGGAUCUUCGGACCUUGCGCGAUUGAAUGAGCCGAUGUCGGAUUAGCUAGUUGGCGGGGUAAAGGCCCACCAAGGCGACGAUCCGUAGCUGGCCUGAGAGGAUGAUCAGCCACACUGGAACUGAGACACGGUCCAGACACCUACGGGAGGCAGCAGUGGGGAAUAUUGGACAAUGGGCGCAAGCCUGAUCCAGCCAUACCGCGUGGGUGAAGAAGGCCUUCGGGUUGUAAAGCCCUUUUGUUGGGAAAGAAAAGCAGCAGGUUAAUACCCCGCUGUUCUGACGGUACCCAAAGAAUAAGCACCGGCUAACUUCGU
rnacentral:rRNA from 1 species